rnacentral:rRNA from 1 species
UACGAAGGGGGCUAGCGUUGCUCGGAAUCACUGGGCGUAAAGCGCACGUAGGCGGAUUCCUAAGUCGGUGGUGAAAUCCUGGAGCUCAACUCCAGAACUGCCUCCGAUACUGAGAGUCUUCGAGUCCGGGAGAGGUGAGUGGAACUGCGAGUGUAGAGGUGAAAUUCGUAGAUAUUCGCAAGAACACCAGUGGCGAAGGCGGCUCACUGGUCCAUUACUGACGCUGAGGUGCGAAAGCGUGGGGAGCAAACAGG